rnacentral:rRNA from 1 species
GAUGAACGCUGGCGGCGUGCCUAAUACAUGCCAGUCGAGCGAACAGACGAGGAGCUUGCUCCUCUGACGUUAGCGGCGGAUGGGUGAGUAACACGUGGAUAACCUACCUAUAAGACUGGGAUAACUUCGGGAAACCGGAGCUAAUACCGGAUAAUAUAUUGAACCGCAUGGUUCAAUAGUGAAAGACGGUUUUGCUGUCACUUAUAGAUGGAUCCGCGCCGCAUUAGCUAGUUGGUAAGGUAACGGCUUACCAAGGCAACGAUGCGUAGCCGACCUGAGAGGGUGAUCGGCCACACUGGAACUGAGACACGGUCCAGACUCCUACGGGAGGCAGCAGUAGGGAAUCUUCCGCAAUGGGCGAAAGCCUGACGGAGCAACGCCGCGUGAGUGAUGAAGGUCUUCGGAUCGUAAAACUCUGUUAUUAGGGAAGAACAAAUGUGUAAGUAACUAUGCACGUCUUGACGGUACCUAAUCAGAAAGCCACGGCUAACUACG